rnacentral:rRNA from 1 species
UUCUAUUAGGAUUAAUUAAUAGUAAAAUCUGCUCCAUGUUUAAUAAAUAGCCGCAAUUUGUGCUAAGGUAGCAUAAUCAUUUGUCUUUUAAAUGAAGACUAGAACAAAAGAUUUAACAUUUUUAGUUUAUUUACCUAAUUUAUCUUAUCAAAUUUUUCCUAAAUGUAAAAAGACAUUUAUUUAAAAGAAAGACGAUAAGACCCUAUUGAACUUAACUGUAGUUAAACUGGGGCAGUAAAUUAAUUAUUAUUUUAAUAUAAAUUAUUACAUAAAUAUCUAAUAAAAUUAAAUAAUUCAGUUACCAUAGGGAUAACAGCGUAAUAAUCUUCUAAAGAUCUUAUUUAAAAUAUAGAUUACGACCUCGAUGUUGAAUUAAUAACCUAAUUAAGGCAAAACUUAAAAAAGGAAGUCUGUUCGACUUUUAAAAAAUUACAUGAUUUGAGUUCAGACCGGUGCAAGCCAGGUCGGUUUCUAUCUUCUAAAAAGUUUUUUACAGUACGAAAGGACCUAAAAAUCUAAUA